rnacentral:lncRNA from 9 species
CCGUCGGGUAGGAUAUUCCUUUCCCGGAAGGCUGGGAAUUAUAGUACUCCUGGGCCCUGGGCUGUGAGACCACUCCAGCGCCCCGUGGGUUGGAAGGGCUUUUCUUCCUAAGUCAAACCCUCUUCUUCUCAUAGGUGCCAUCGUAAUUCACUGUGGAAAUACUGCUGCCGCCGACGCAGCCGUGCCCUGCCCGCAGACGCCUUGCUUGUACCUGGCUUGAGACCUGUUCCGAGAUUGCUCCCUCCAGCUUUGG